rnacentral:rRNA from 1 species
GUAGGUGGCAAGCGUUGUCCGGAAUUAUUGGGCGUAGAGCGCGCGCAGGCGGUUCUUUAAGUCUGAUGUGAAAGCCCACGGCUCAACCGUGGAGGGUCAUUGGAAACUGGAGAACUUGAGUACAGAAGAGGAAAGCGGAAUUCCACGUGUAGCGGUGAAAUGCGUAGAGAUGUGGAGGAACACCAGUGGCGAAGGCGGCUUUCUGGUCUGUAACUGACGCUGAGGCGCGAAAGCGUGGGGGAGCAAACAGGAUUAGAUACCCUGGUAGUCCACGCCGUAAACGAUGAGUGCUAAGUGUUAGGGGGUUUCCGCCCUUAGUGCUGCAGCUAACGCAUUAAGCACUCCGCCUGGGAGUACGGCCGCAAGGCUG